AAUUUAUCUUUUAUAAUUUGUAGCAGUUAGUAAUUAUUUAGAUUGAAAGUAGUAUGUUUUGGUAUGUUCUGUGCCCCCCGCAAAUCCCGUGAAUCCCAUUACCCCACCCUCCCUAUCGUGCGCGUGCCAUGCCCCUCCAUGCCUAUCGCGGCCAUGCCCCCUCCCCUCCUAUCACUUUUAUGUGUUCUCCAUCACCUAACCUAUGUAUUUUUUCACCCCUUCCCGAUCACAAACCAUACAUAGGAAAAGCCCUUACGCGAAAUACCUCACCCUCUUUUUCGUCCGCGUGCUGGGCCUUACCCCUCCCCUCCUUUCCACUACAUGCUGGGCAUUGCCCCCUUAAAAAAUAUAAUAUUCUUAUAUUUAAUAUAGAAUACAAAACAUUUUGAAAUAGUAUGUAAGUUAAUUUUAGUUCAUAGAAGUAUAUACUCGUAUAUAUAUAACGUAAAUAAGUAAUUAGGUAUUAACGAGACCUCAUUAUCAUAUUUUAUCGAUGUUAAAAUAUAUGAAAGUGCACAUGUAUAUGUAAAUAAUAUACACUCAUUAAAAAAUAUGUUAAUAAUAUUAUUGCUCAAACAACCUUACUUAACUGGCUAUUUUAACUGGCGGUCAAACGGGGGGGAUGAGGGGGAUAGAUCCCCCCCCCCUUGGCUUUUUUUCCUUAAUAUUUAUAACAAUUAUAUAUAUGUAUAUUGUACUAUAAUGUUAAUGUAUUACAUUUUGUUUUAAUUUUUCUGAAAAUAACGCUUAUGAGCGUAUAUUAUUAUUAUCUCGAUUCUAGACUCGUUCUAGGAAGAAGGCUGUUAUUAUUAUUAAUAUUUAGUAAUUAGUUGCUUAUACAAAAUUUACAGGAAUUACCCAGCUCGGUGAUCGUGAAUAUUCAAUAACAACACACUCCUCCCUUGACCGGGCCAUCGGCCGAAAUGUAUCAAUAAAAUGGUUGAAAACAUAUUUGAGAAAUACUAUGGGGGAGAGUCGUCUCAAUGGUUUGGCCACUAUGGCUGUUCAUCGUGGAAUUAUAAAUAUAACCUCCAAUGAAGUGCUGGAUGAAUUAGCAAAAAAAAACAAAAAAAUAGAUUUAAUAAUAUGAUACAAAUAUUGUUAAUAUUAGUAAUAUUACAUUGUUAUAAAUAAAGUAACAAUUUACCUGAAUUUAAAAAAAUUGAUAUUAGGCAUAACCAUAAAUUAUAUUUUAAUGAUUAAUAGUAGUGCAUAUUAAAAAAUCAGCCUCAUCCCCCCCCCCCCCCCCAUGACAAAAUCAUUUGACCGCCACUGCUGGCUAACAAUAAAUAUUAGGAACAUGGCAACCUGAAUUAUUAUUUAUAAGUAAAUAUCAAAUUCAUAUAUCAAUUAUUUGUAGUAACCAAAUGUUAGUUAUACAAAUUGAAGAAGAUAUCACUGAAUAACAUAACAAAAUGGUUCAGGUUCAUAAAGUAUUGAAUAUUUGCUUUAUGAUACUGGCAUUUGUUUUUUUAGCCAUAAUAUCCGCACUAAUUUAUAUUAUACUGAUAAAGGUAAGUCACAACUGAAUAUGUAUUUCGUACGUCUGUAAGACCAAUUCUAUGCCCGUAAGUAGGUAGUAUUAUUCGGUUCUAUCCCCGUUUUUAAAAUUACAGGGAGAUUUAAAAACGUUUGUCCACGACUUUCCCUCUGGAGUGAUCAGAUUUGUGGUUGCUUACUUUCCUCGUUUUUAACAGUUACAGGGAGAUUUAAAAACGUUUAUCCACAACUUUUCCCCUUGCGAUGGCAUUGUCGUCCCCGGGAAAAUUUUUAAUAAAAAAGAUAUUUUACUCAGUUUUCGUUUUUUAUUCUUCGUUAUUUCAACUUAUAUGCGCAAAUAUCAAUUAAAUAACUUCUGGGCUCAUGGCCUAGUGGGCUAAGACGUUGGGUGUAGAGUUUGUUAUAUUUGAAUUUAGGGUAAGUAAGUAUGUUAAUACUACAGCCAGUGUCAUAGUCUACUAGAUCAAAUUUUGUAUUUGCUUGAGACGGGCGAAGUCAAUGUUUGUCAAACUAAUGUAAUUUAUUUUCGUUUAUAUGCAAGGUAAUUAAACUAUGUUUACCAUUGAUUGAAUAUGAAAAGUUAUCAGUUAUUUUUACACGUCUUCAUUUGGUGUGCAAAUUAUUAAUAAUUGAAUUGUAAUUAGAUUCAGACAUAAGUGUGAACCAUUCUUCUAAACUUCAUGUAAUAAUUUUCUUUGAA